rnacentral:tRNA from 1 species
GCGGGAGUAAUUCAGUGGUAGAAUGUCAGCUUCCCAAGCUGACUACGGGGGUUCGAUUCCCCUCUCCCGCUCCA